rnacentral:rRNA from 1 species
GUUCGGAUCGCAGGCUGCAACCCGCCUGCGUGAAGUUGGAAUCGCUAGUAAUCGCGGAUCAGCAUGCCGCGGUGAAUACGUUCCCGGGCCUUGUACACACCGCCCGUCACACCAUGAGAGUCGGGAACACCCGAAGUCCGUAGCCUAACCGCGAAGGGGGGCGCGGCCGAAGGUGGGUUCGAUAAUUGGGGUGAAGUCGUAACAAGGUAUC